UGACAUCUCUCACCAAGAUGCCCCUCACUGGGAGUUCCCCAGUCGCUCUCCACAUUCACCUGGCGGCUCCACUGUGGAAAACAAGCCCUGUGUCUCCUGCAUAACAAGAGGAAGGAUAUCAUAGCCCCCUCAUACAGAGCAGCUUGUCCCAUCUAGGGGGGUUAGGCGGCUAGGUGCGGGGAACUUAGCCCGUGCCGGAAAUGGCCCGGGAGGUGCACUUUCCUUCCCCCACUGUGCCUCUCUUACGCGGUCCCAGCCGGGAUCAUACUUGCAUCUCCCCCUGCGCCCGUAGCGCACUUCUCUCCAUACACCGUCCAUGUGGAGAAGUUCUUCCUCACGGUGUAUAUAAGUAAUCACUAGGUUGUAUGUGUUAUGUUUGUUGGUCGUCUAGGUAGGUAUGUUUUAAAGUAAUAUGCUUUUGCACAAUAUGUUUUAAUAAAGGAUUUAUAGUUAUAUUUAGGUCUAGGGAAGAUAUUUAUUAGAGGAAGGAAAAAAACAGUGAAAAAGAAAGAAAACAACUUAAAGAGGUAAAACAAAACAAGUGUGUUUCAAAAGAAAACAACUUAACUUGAGCUGCUGCAGAAAAGUGAAAACAGUGUGCUAAACGGCGACGUUUCAACCUUAUUCAGGUCUUCUUCAGGCCUAGCACACUAAUAUCUGAGAAAUAGAGAGCUGUUGUUCAACUGACUGACAGAGAUCCUCACUGUUUCUAAGUCAGAGCAGGAGUGACUGCCUCUGCUGCUGCUGCCUCCUUUUAUUCCCUCCCCCGGGACUCUACGCAAGUAGGCCCUCCCCCCUGCUACGUAUCCUCCAGAGGGGAUUUCCACAGCUUUGGCCAUGAGGUAAGUAUUGUAGGUGGUUGUAGGUAAUCCAGGUAGGUAUUUUACUGUAGGUAGGUAGGUGGUGUUCAUCAUCCAGGUAAGUAUGUAGAGGUAAGUAUAUUAGACAGGUUUAGUGUAGUACAGGAAAGGGUUUUAAGCAGCAGAGGAGGAGCUGGCCAUAGGGUUGGGGUCAGGCCCAAGGUCAAGGACGGUUAGGUGAAGGAAAGAAAUAGGAACCACUAUGUGGUCCCUAUGGUGCACUCUCCACCCCAAGGAUGGCUAGCCCCCCAUCCCCAUCCUCCACUACUUGGGUUUAUCAGCGUGGUGUAUUUAUAUAAUAACGUGUUAAAAUGUUUUAGUUGAAUAUUUAUUUAUCAUAAAAUUAAAUGUAUAUCAAGUAUAAUGUUUGUAUUUUUUUGUUUUAACACCGCUUCUUUUUUUGUAUUUUUCUCUUUUUUUGUAUUUAUUUUAUAUGUAUUUUUUCCUGGUUUGGCUUUAAUUUAGUUUUCCAAUUAAUUCCCACCCUUGUUUAAUUUGGUUAACCGAUGUCUUUUCUUUUUCCAUCUGUAGGUGGCGCUCGCGCGACGUUUCGUCUUGUCUGUGACUUCUUCAGGCUGGCCAUCCUACAUGUAAAUUUACUUGAACCCUGGAGAGAUGUUGCUCCCUCAGUGGUUCAUGCCAAACUGACUUGUCUUCUGUUCUAACUUCCCUUUUAUACUCCGCCCACUCUGUCUUUUCUCUUUUAGUAAAUUCUUUUUAGUUUUCUAAAUCUGUGUGUUAGUUAUCCAAUGAAAUGGCUUGUUUUAUUUAUCUUAUUUUUAACCAAACUAAUUUUGAAUUAUUUAUUUCUUCACCUAAUGUUUCACUAUUUAUAUUUUUUUUGACUAUGUUGUUAUUUAACUUAUUUAUUGUCAUUAACUUAUUUAUCAACUAAUGAAUUAUUAAAUUAUUAACCCCUAACCUCCUUGUAAAUUAUCCUGUCAAUUAAUAAAUUUAUUUACCCAAAUUUCCUAAUCCUUUUCCCUCUUUAUUUCCCUUUUUCUAUGACUCAUCCUCCAUCCUUCACCCUAGGCCGGUGCCUAUAUCAUAACGUACCUCGUAUAUAAUUUGCCUGCCUUUGGUGGGAUUGGUGGGUUUAGAAUAGGGCAGGGAACCAAAUUGGGGUUGGAAUGUAGGUGAUGGGAUUGGUGCCACAACUGGGGCUAACAUGUAACGAAUUAAAAAACUAGAAGAAAGGAAAGGGGUAGAGGGUGUUAACCCAGAUUGACCCGGGUCAAUCUGUCAGUUGUGGGAGAACGGUAGGUGGUAGAGCUACGGGGGUGGUACCGUUGUAAAGCUGGUGGUUGAAAAUGUGGGUGGCCAAGUGGGUCCCGCCCCCGUGCGAGGUUGCGUUGCGGAGCCACGCCUCCUUUUAGCGUCCGGGUCAUGCGUAUUUCGGGCUAGGAAGGUCGUAGAGAGUCGGGACAAAGACUGGCGUGUUCAGCGUGGUGGAAUUAUGGCAGGUUAGGUGCGGGGAACUGAGCCCGUGCCGGAGGAGGCCCGGGAGGUGCACUGUCCUUCCCCCAGUGCCCCUGUCGUAAGUAAUCCCAGCCGGGAUCAUAUUUCCUCUGUCCUCUGCGCCCGUAGCGCACCUCUCUCCAUACACCGUCCAUUCAGGGGCUUUUUACCUCGCGGUGUAUGUAAAUAAUCACUAGGUUUGUAUAUUUAUGGUUAGGGUUGAUCUAGGUAGAUAUAUAUAAUAUAAUAAUAAACUAGUCUGCUUGUGAGACAGUAUGCGAUAAUAAGGAGCUAUAUUUUUAUUUAACAGAUAUAUAGACAAGGAAAAGACAGUAAGGAGUAAGAAGAAAACAAAGAAAGUGAAAGGGGCAAAACAAACCAAGUGUUUCUAAAAGAAAAAACAACUCAAUUUGAGCUGCUGCAGAAAACAAAAAAUAGUGUGCUACCCGGCGACGUUUCGACCUGUUUCAGGUCUUCUUCAGGCCAAGCACACUAAUAAUGAAGUAAAUAUUAAGAAAAUAGAGAGCUGUUUGUUCCACUGACUGACAGAGAUCCUCACUGUUUCAAGGCCAGAGCAGGAGUGACUGCCUCUGCUGCUGCUGCCUCCUUUUAUACCCUCCCCCGGGACUCUACGCAAGUAGGCCCUCCCCUCUGCUACGGAUCCUGCAGAGGAGAGCUCUACAGCUUUGGCCAUGAGGUAAGAAUUUAGUUGAUCGCAGUCAUUAAGGUAAGUAUAUCGUUAGUCAGGCUUCCACAUUGCAGGUAAGUAUGUCAGGUAGGUCUUUCGUUAGUUUUAGUCCUGUACAGGUAAGUAUCUAGGUGGUUUAGGCUCCGUCCGGUAAGUAUUUUAGUGUGUAUUGGUCCUUUAAAUUAGUAUACGGUUGUUUGUUUUUCCUUAUUGUCAUCCAGGUGUAUCAGGUAGGUAUUUCAUUCGGUUUGUAAUAGUGUACAGGUAAGUAUUUUAAUGGUUUCGUCCUUUCCAGGUAAGUAUUUGAUACGUAUUGGUCCUUUAAGGUGAGUAUGGAGUUUGUUUGUUGUUUCUUAUUGUCAAUAAUGUGUAUGAGAUAUGUAUUUUGUUCAUCCCAGUCUUCUACAGGUAAGUAUUUUGGCGGUAUCGUCCUUUCCAGGUAAGUAUUUAGUGCGUAUUGGUCCUUUAAGGUAAGUAUGGAGUUUGUUUGUUGUUUCCAAUUGUCAAUAAUGUGUUUCAGAUAUGUAUUCAGGUAGUCCCAGUCUUCUACAGGUAAGUAUCUCGGCGGUUUCGUCCUUUCCAGGUAAGUAUUUCAUGCGUAUUGGUCCUUUAAGGUAAGUAUGGAGUUUGUUUGUUGUUUAUAAUUGUCAAUAAUGUGUAUAAGGUAUAUAUUUAGUUAGUCCCAGUCUUCUACAGGUAAGUAUUUUGGUGAUUUGGUCAUUCCCAGGUAAGUAUUUAGUGUGUAUUGGUCCUUUAAGGUAAGUAUGGAGUUGUGUAUUGUUCCUAAUUGUAAACAAUGUGUACAGAAUAGCUGCCUUAACGAGUAUACUUUCAUCCUCUAUCCAUCUGUCUAUUAUUUAUUUAUUUAUAUCACUAGGUCUUUAUUAGCAGACCUAAAUCUGUAUGCAUUAAUACUCUUUUUUUGCUCGGGGCUUCUAUAAUGUAUUAGGAUCUCCUAGGGCUAUCCACUAGGAUGAUAUAUAUUUAAUAAAUGAUAUAGGUAUAAGUUAAUGGGGGGUUUUAGGCUUUAAAGGGGUAAGAGUGGUUGGGGUCAGGCCAGAACUAGACUGAGGUUGAGGUAAGGAAUACCCUCAGGGCGAGGUUAGACUAAGAAGGAAAUGUCAAAGGUCGAAGUCAGACAUAAAGGCCAGAGACCUUGGGUUUAGGCAUCAAGUCUCCUAAAGGGUUAGGUGAUAGGGAAAGAAUGGGAACCACUAUGUGGUCCCCAUGGUGCACUCUCCACCCCAAGGAUGGCUAGCCUCCCAUCCCCAUCAUCCACUAAUUGGGCUUUAUCGUCGCGGUGUAUUUAUAUAAUAACGUAUAAAAUUUCUAGUUUAAUAUUUAUUUAUCAUAAAAUUAAAUAUAUAUCAAGUAUGAAUGUUUGUAUUUUUAGUUGUUUUUAAC